GGCAUCAUGAGGUAGCAAUACCUUGAUGGCGACCGGCGCACGGGUGAGUAACGCGUAUGCAACCUGCCCGAUACCGGGGUAUAGCCCAUGGAAACGUGGAUUAACACCCCAUAGUACUUUUAUCCUGCAUGGGAUAGGAGUUAAAUGUUUAAGGUAUCGGAUGGGCAUGCGUCCUAUUAGUUAGUUGGCGGGGUAACAGCCCACCAAGACGAUGAUAGGUAGGGGUUCUGAGAGGAAGGUCCCCCACAUUGGAACUGAGACACGGUCCAAACUCCUACGGGAGGCAGCAGUGAGGAAUAUUGGUCAAUGGACGAGAGUCUGAACCAGCCAAGUCGCGUGAGGGAAGACUGCCCUAUGGGUUGUAAACCUCUUUUAUAAGGGAAGAAUAAGUUCUACGUGUAGAAUGAUGCCUGUACCUUAUGAAUAAGCAUCGGCUAACUCCGUGCCAGCAGCCGCGGUAAUACGGAGGAUGCGAGCGUUAUCCGGAUUUAUUGGGUUUAAAGGGUGCGUAGGCGGUUUAUUAAGUUAGUGGUUAAAUAUUUGAGCUAAACUCAAUUGUGCCAUUAAUACUGGUAAACUGGAGUACAGACGAGGUAGGCGGAAUAAGUUAAGUAGCGGU
rnacentral:rRNA from 1 species